rnacentral:rRNA from 1 species
GAUGAACGCUGGCGGCGUGCCUAAUACAUGCAAGUCGAGCGAAUGGAUUAAGAGCUUGCUCUUAUGAAGUUAGCGGCGGACGGGUGAGUAACACGUGAGUAACCUGCCCAUAAGACUGGGAUAACUCCGGGAAACCGGGGCUAAUACCGGAUAACAUUUUGAACCGCAUGGUUCGAAAUUGAAAGGCGGCUUCGGCUGUCACUUAUGGAUGGACCCGCGUCGCAUUAGCUAGUUGGUGAGGUAACGGCUCACCAAGGCAACGAUGCGUAGCCGACCUGAGAGGGUGAUCGGCCACACUGGGACUGAGACACGGCCCAGACUCCUACGGGAAGCAGCAGUAGGGAAUCUUCCGCAAUGGACGAAAGUCUGACGGAGCAACGCCGCGUGAGUGAUGAAGGCUUUCGGGUCGUAAAACUCUGUUGUUAGGGAAGAACAAGUGCUAGUUGAAUAAGCUGGUACCUUGACGGUACCUAACCAGAAAGCCACGGCUAACUACGUGCCAGCCGCCGCCGUAA